GACAGAGGUCCCAAGCGUUAGGCGGAAUCACUGGGCUUAAAGCGUGUGUAGGCGGACCUGCAAGUACCUUGUGAAAUCCCAUGGCUCAACCAUGGAACUGCUUGGUAUACUGCUGGUCUUGAGGCAUCUAGAGGCAACUGGAACAAACGGUGGAGCGGUGAAAUGCGUAGAUAUCGUUUGGAACGCCCAAGGUGAAAACAGGUUGCUGGGGAUGUACUGACGCUGAGACACGAAAGCCAGGGGAGCAAACGGG
rnacentral:rRNA from 1 species